GGUGUUGCUCUUGCAAUUUUACGCAGAUAUUAAUUCCAUGCAUUUAAUAAGUAAUCAUCAGUUGAGAACGCCCUGUACCUAAACUUUAAUCUUAACAUACCCAGUUCUCCUGCUGACUUGACCCAUUCCUUAUCAUAUCCACUGCCUAUUCUGACUAUGACCCGUAAACUUUUAAAUUUCUCUAAGUCUUCUUUGGCUAAGGUGAUGGUGUGCCACAUCAGGGCACCCACUGCCUCUUUAAUACCUGUGGGAGAAAAACAUCUCACUCUUACAACAGUCAAUCAACAUACUAUCAGCUAUGAAUUCUUUCAAUGUGAACUCUGUACAUGAAAUGACUUUAAGAUUUUUGCUAAAAAGACAACACGAUAUGGAAAUUAUGUAAAAUGUUGUAAUAAAAAGAAUUUUUCAUUAUUUGACAAGCAUAACUGCAGCUCUUUAAGAAAAUUCAGGUCAUAGAGCUCUAGUUUUUUACAUCCAAAAUACUUGCAAUUUCAAAAUCUCAGAAAAAGAGGUGAUAUUUUGAUUGUAAAGAUUGUAUCUCUAGGUCUGCCAGCCCAAAUUUUUAUGCUAGAUAUGAUUAAGUAAAAUUUUUAUCCAACUAUUGUCUAUUUCGAUCCCCUUGCCAAUUAAGGCAUGGGGAUAUAUAACUCUGCUGUUAGGAUAAAUCUUUUUCCACCUGAAAUCAUAAAAGGUGUGUGCUUACUUUUUCAUGAAUUUCCUGUGUUGACUGCGCAUCACAGAAUGCAACAGUGGCCACAUCCUUGAGGAUGGGCAUUUCUAUUGAGCAGUCUCUGCCAUCCAGAAGGGCAAUGAGUGGGCGGGGAUGCAUGGGCCCAUUGGGAAUAGGUCCACGAAUGGACACUGCAACAAAAAACAAAUCCUACGCAUUAGCAGCCAUGAAAAAUAUAAUAAUCACUUUACAAUAAUGUACCCAUAUAAGAAUUGACUUCUUUUUUCCACCAUGAAAUUGGAGCUUCUAACGUGGUCGCUUUGGUUGUUUGUAGCAGUUUCUUUUUGUCCAUGUGAUGGAAAGGGAGAUCACUGUGGAGGUCAGGCUCCACGAGGCAAUGUUGUGUCACCAAUAUUGGCCUCUGGAACACAACAAUCUGCAGAAUAAAAGUCAGCUUACAUACAAAUUUAGGAGACAUAAUCAACUACCAUAAAAACAGAAGUUAUGUCUUUUUUGUUGUUGGUUGGAGAUUUUCAAUAUUGGGUUAGGUGGUAUGGUAGUAGAAAAAAUAUUUUUUUUUUAAAAUGGACUAAGAAAAUCAAAGUAUUUUACUAGCAGAUUAGGACUGUCUCAAGAUUUUUUAAGUUGGCAUGUAAAUGAUACUAUAUACAUAUCCCAUAAAAUUUAAAAUACAUGUAUACUGUGGAUAGUACAAAUAUUUUAAAUAUAGAUGAACAGUACCUAUUCAAACAAAAAUGUAUGCAAACGAUAUCAUGUCAGUGUCACACAAUACAUUGUUUGGAUAUUGUUUUGUUUGGUUUGCUUUGAUUGGUUAAAUGUUGUUUUCACAUGUUCAAUGAGUGAAACAAUAAACGUACCUGAU
rnacentral:sRNA from 1 species